UUUUGCUGACGAGUGGCGGACGGGUGAGUAAUGUCUGGGAAACUGCCUGAUGGAGGGGGAUAACUACUGGAAACGGUAGCUAAUACCGCAUAACGUCGCAAGACCAAAGAGGGGGACCUUCGGGCCUCUUGCCAUCGGAUGUGCCCAGAUGGGAUUAGCUAGUAGGUGGGGUAACGGCUCACCUAGGCGACGAUCCCUAGCUGGUCUGAGAGGAUGACCAGCCACACUGGAACUGAGACACGGUCCAGACUCCUACGGGAGGCAGCAGUGGGGAAUAUUGCACAAUGGGCGCAAGCCUGAUGCAGCCAUGCCGCGUGUAUGAAGAAGGCCUUCGGGUUGUAAAGUACUUUCAGCGGGGAGGAAGGGAGUAAAGUUAAUACCUUUGCUCAUUGACGUUACCCGCAGAAGAAGCACCGGCUAACUCCGUGCCAGCAGCCGCGGUAAUACGGAGGGUGCAAGCGUUAAUCGGAAUUACUGGGCGUAAAGCGCACGCAGGCGGUUUGUUAAGUCAGAUGUGAAAUCCCCGGGCUCAACCUGGGAACUGCAUCUGAUACUGGCAAGCUUGAGUCUCGUAGAGGGGGGUAGAAUUCCAGGUGUAGCGGUGAAAUGCGUAGAGAUCUGGAGGAAUACCGGUGGCGAAGGCGGCCCCCUGGACGAAGACUGACGCUCAGGU
rnacentral:rRNA from 1 species